rnacentral:rRNA from 1 species
GACGAACGCUGGCGGCGUGCUUAACACAUGCAAGUCGAACGGUAAGGCCCUUCGGGGUACACGAGUGGCGAACGGGUGAGUAACACGUGGGUGAUCUGCCCUGCACUUCGGGAUAAGCCUGGGAAACUGGGUCUAAUACCGGCUAGGACUCCUGGCUUCCUGGUUGGGGGUGGGAAGCUUUUGCGGUGUGGGAUGGGCCCGCGGCCUAGCAGCUUGGUGGUGGGGUAAUGGCCUACCAAGGCGACGACGGGUAGCCGGCCUGAGAGGGUGACCGGUCACACUGGGACUGAGAUACGGCCCAGACUCCUACGGGAGGCAGCAGUGGGGAAUAUUGCACAAUGGGCGCAAGCCUGAUGCAGCGACGCCGCGUGAGGGAUGACGGCCCUCGGGUUGUAAACCUCUUUCAGCUAUGACGAAGCGCAAGUGACGGUAGUAGCAGAAGAAGGACCGGCCAACUACGUGCCAGCAGCCGCCGUAA